AAUCAAUGAGCUGGCAUUGGGAAUUCGAUGACGACGCCCACGAUGACGAAGAUUCUGAUGACGACGGUGACGAUGAUGACGAGACUAAUUUAAUGACUAUUGUUCUUUGACUCUUUGACUGUAUGUUCCAUUGACCUGGUCCGAAUGUGACGAAAGCGGGGAAUACUUGCUCAGCCAUAGCCCAGCAGAUACUUGGGCAGGUAGGUAAUCGAUGAAAUCAGGCUGUAACUGUUUAAAAGAGAUGUGGCAAGUGCGAA